rnacentral:rRNA from 1 species
UACGUAGGGUGCAAGCGUUGCCCGGAUUUAUUGGGCGUAAAGGGCGCGUAGGCGGCUCGGCACGUCCGUUGUGAAAUCGCCCGGCUCAACUGGGCGGGGUCAGCGGAUACGGUCGAGCUUGAGCAAGCUAGGGGGCAAUGGAAUUCCCGGUGUAGUGGUGGAAUGCGUAGAUAUCGGGAGGAACACCGGUGGCGAAGGCGGGUCUCUGGGCCGAUACUGACGCUGAGGAGCGAAAGCGUGGGGAGCAAACAGG